rnacentral:rRNA from 1 species
UACGGAGGGGACUAGCGUUGUUCGGAAUUACUGGGCGUAAAGCGCACGUAGGCGGAUUUGUAAGUCAGGGGUGAAAUCCCGGGGCUCAACCUCGGAACUGCCUUUGAUACUGCAAAUCUCGAGUCCGGAAGAGGUGAGUGGAAUUCCUAGUGUAGAGGUGAAAUUCGUAGAUAUUAGGAAGAACACCAGUGGCGAAGGCGGCUCACUGGCCCGAUACUGACGCUGAGGCACGAAAGCGUGGGGAGCAAAGCAG